UUAGCCAUUGCUGUGAAUUUUGGUGCCCCCAGCUACCAACAUUUUUUCAGAGAUUUACAUGAGUUUUCUAAUAAACAUAACAUUGAAGCGACGGACCCGGUGAGUUAUUACUAUACGAACACUCACGUAAAUAAACCCGUUUUGGUAAUGGCUAGGAGCACCAAAAUUGACAGGAAUGGUUAAAAAGCUUUAAUUUUUCUAGAGCAUCUAUUUCGAGCUUUAAAGCAACAUUUUUUCGCUUUUGUCGACCAGUGUAUCAUGCUGUUUAACUUAAAAAAUGUGUAUAACUUUCUCAACAUAUCUUUUGACUUUUUAGAAAAAUUUUAUGAUGGAAAAGAUAAGUAAUGUGGCAAAUACGGUCAAUGGGUAAAAUACAUGCUACGAAAUUGUCAAGAGUAUCAAUUGGAGCUUCAACGUCAAAUUGAUGGAACCUUUUCUAAAAGUCAGUCACGAGGAAUUCCAUGAAACGUUGUGAAGCCGCUGCGCUGCUCGACAGUUCACCGGAGAUCAAAGAAAACAUCACUUCUGUUGCAAUUGCUGAAUGUAUGACCACUGAUGAUACGGGAAAAAAGAACGGAACAGCACAAGAAAACAGCGACACAGAAGAGGAGAGCGAUCGUGUUGAAUAUUGCGUAUCGUAGUUCUAAGUUAUCUUCAGUUAUUUUUUUAUUCGAUACCAAGCUAUCUGUAAUUCGUUAAUCUAGAUGUAAUUAAAGACUAGAACCUGGGCAAAACAGGUUCAACACCAUGUAUUCCUGUUGAAUGUAAGAAAUGAAAUGUUUAUGUUUUAAUAAACGACUCUUUCGGGACUUUUUUCAUUGCACAUUGUAUAUUUUUUCUUAAUAUUAGUUUACAUUUAGCUAACUAAAUGUUCGCUUAAAUUAUUAUUACCAUUAGAGCAACCUUUGGUUUACUAAUAAACAAGAUCAUUACCCAACAGUCACGUGAGUUGAGUACCA